GCAUUUGGUACCUCUUAUUUGAGAAACCUAAACCACCUUGAAAAGAAAGAUAAAUACCUAUGUUUGCAGAGUUGCCUUUGUCUCCACUUCUAGUAUAGGCAAGAUCUUCUAAGCGGUAAGUAUGGUGACCACUUGGCAGAUCUUUCAAUUCACUGUUAAUCCUGGGUGGAUCAAAGGAAACAGCCUCAUCUGAUGUAAAUGUGAGAUCCUCCUCAAAUG
rnacentral:lncRNA from 1 species